rnacentral:rRNA from 1 species
UACGUAGGGUGCGAGCGUUGUCCGGAAUUAUUGGGCGUAAAGAGCUCGUAGGCGGUCUGUUGCGUCGGCUGUGAAAACCCGGGGCUCAACUCCGGGCCUGCAGCCGAUACGGGCAGACUAGAGUUCGGUAGGGGAGUCUGGAAUUCCUGGUGUAGCGGUGAAAUGCGCAGAUAUCAGGAGGAACACCGGUGGCGAAGGCGGGACGCUGGGCCGAUACUGACGCUGAGGAGCGAAAGCGUGGGGAGCAAACAGG